rnacentral:rRNA from 1 species
CCUACGGGUGGCAGCAGUAGGGAAUAUUGGACAAUGGGCGAAAGCCUGAUCCAGCCAUGCCGCGUGAUAGAUGAAGGCCCUCUGGGUUGUAAAUAUCUUUUAUCUGGGAAGAAACAAUCUUAUUCUUAAGAUCUUGACGGUACCAGAGGAAUAAGCACCGGCUAACUCCGUGCCAGCAGCCGCGGUAAUACGGAGGGUGCAAGCGUUAUCCGGAUUCACUGGGUUGUAGGCGUGCGUAGGCGGCCUGAGUGAAAGCUCCGAGCUUAACUUGGAAACUGCCAUUGAUACUGCCAGUCUUGAGUGUCGUAGAGGUAAGCGGAAUGUUGCAUGUAGCGGUGAAAUGCUGAGAGAUGUUACAGAACACCAAGUGCGAAGGCAGCUUACUAUGCGAUGAUUGACGCUGAGGCACGAGAGCGUGGGGAGCAAACAGGAUUAGAUACCGCUGUAGUC